AUACGGAGGAUGCGAGCGAUAUCCGGAUUUAUUGGGUUUAAAGGGUGCGUAGGCGGGCUGUUAAGCGUGAGGUGAAAGCUCGGGGCUCAACCCGGGAACUGCCUCGCGAACUGGCGGGCUUGAAUGUCCGUGCCGUGGGUGGAAUUUGGGGUGUAGCGGUGAAAUGCGUAGAUAUCGAGCGGAACACCUGUGGCGAAGGCGGCUCACUUGAGCACAACUGACGCUGAGGCGCGAAAGCUAGGGGAGCAAACAGGAUUAGAUACCCUGGUAGUCCACGCUGUAAACGAUGAGUGCUUGGUGUAGCGGGUAUCGACCCCUGCUGUGCCGAAGUCAACACAUUAAGCACUCCGCCUGGGGAGUACGGUCGCAAGGCUGAAACUCAAAUGAAUUGACGG
rnacentral:rRNA from 1 species